GAUGAACGCUGGCGGCGUGCUUAACACAUGCAAGUCGAACGGAAAGGCCUCUGCUUGCAGGGGUACUCGAGUGGCGAACGGGUGAGUAACACGUGGGUGAUCUGCCCUGCACUUCGGGAUAAGCCUGGGAAACUGGGUCUAAUACCGGAUAGGACAAUGGUUUGGAUGCCGUUGUGGAAAGUUUUUCGGUGUGGGAUGAGCUCGCGGCCUAUCAGCUUGUUGGUGGGGUAAUGGCCUACCAAGGCGUCGACGGGUAGCCGGCCUGAGAGGGUGUACGGCCACAUUGGGACUGAGAUACGGCCCAGACUCCUACGGGAGGCAGCAGUAGGGAAUAUUGCACAAUGGGCGCAAGCCUGAUGCAGCGACGCCGCGUGGGGGAUGACGGCCUUCGGGUUGUAAACUCCUUUCGCUAGGGACGAAGCGCAAGUGACGGUACCUGGAGAAGAAGCACCGGCUAACUACGUG
rnacentral:rRNA from 1 species